rnacentral:rRNA from 1 species
UGAGGAAUAUUGGGCAAUGCCCGCAAGGGUGACCCAGCAACGCCGCGUGGAGGAUGAAUGUCGUAAGAUUGUAAACUCCUGUUAGAGGGGAAGAAUAGUACCGGUUGGACCGGUAUAUGACUGUACCCUCAGAGAAAGCCCCGGCUAACUACGCGCCAGCAGCCGCGGUAAUACGUAGGGGGCAAGCGUUGUCCGGAUUUACUGGGUGUAAAGGGCGCGCAGGCGGGAUAAAAAGUCAGUGGUGAAAUCCUACAGCUUAACUGUAGAACUGCCUUUGAUACUUUUAUUCUUGAGUUCGGGAGAGAGAGACGGAAUUCCAGGUGUAGUGGUGAAAUACGUAGAUAUCUGGAAGAACACCAGUUGCGAAGGCGGUCUCUUGGUCCGACACUGACGCUGAGGCGCGAAAGCGUGGGGAGCAAACA